GUGCUCACUUCAUUAGCACAUAUACUAAAAUUUGAAUGAUCCAAAGAUUAGCAUGGACCCUGUGCAAAAAUGGCAUAUAAAAUCAUGAAAUGUUUAUAUUUUAU